GACGAACGCUGGCGGCGUGCUUAACACAUGCAAGUCGAACGGAAAGGCCCUGCUUUUGUGGGGUGCUCGAGUGGCGAACGGGUGAGUAACACGUGAGUAACCUGCCCUUGACUUUGGGAUAACUUCAGGAAACUGGGGCUAAUACCGGAUAGGAGCUCCUGCUGCAUGGUGGGGGUUGGAAAGUUUCGGCGGUUGGGGAUGGACUCGCGGCUUAUCAGCUUGUUGGUGGGGUAGUGGCUUACCAAGGCUUUGACGGGUAGCCGGCCUGAGAGGGUGACCGGCAACACUGGGACUGGGAUGCGGCACAGACUCCUACGGGAGGCAGCAGUGGGGAAUAGUGCACUAUGGGCGGAAGCAUGAUGCAGCAACGCCGCGUGCGGGAUGACGGCCUUCGGGUCGGAAACCGCUUUCGCCUGUGACGAAGCGUGAGUGACGGUAAUGGGUAAAGAAGCACCGGCUAACUACGUG
rnacentral:rRNA from 1 species